rnacentral:rRNA from 1 species
UACGAAGGGGGCUAGCGUUGCUCGGAAUCACUGGGCGUAAAGCGCACGUAGGCGGAUCUUUAAGUCAGGGGUGAAAUCCCAAGGCUCAACCUUGGAACUGCCUUUGAUACUGGGGAUCUCGAGUCCGGAAGAGGUUGGUGGAACUGCGAGUGUAGAGGUGAAAUUCGUAGAUAUUCGCAGGAACACCAGUGGCGAAGGCGGCUUACUGGUCCAUAACUGACGCUGAGGUGCGAAAGCGUGGG